UGGCUCAGAACGAACGCUGGCGGCAUGCCUAACACAUGCAAGUCGAACGAAGCCUUCGGGCUUAGUGGCGCACGGGUGCGUAACACGUGGGAAUCUGCCCUUCGGUUCGGAAUAACAGUUAGAAAUGACUGCUAAUACCGGAUGAUGACGAAAGUCCAAAGAUUUAUCGCCGAAGGAUGAGCCCGCGUAGGAUUAGGUAGUUGGUAGGGUAAUGGCCUGCCAAGCCGACGAUCCUUAGCUGGUCUGAGAGGAUGAUCAGCCACACUGGGACUGAGACACGGCCCAGACUCCUACGGGAGGCAGCAGUGGGGAAUAUUGGACAAUGGGCGAAAGCCUGAUCCAGCAAUGCCGCGUGAGUGAUGAAGGCCUUAGGGUUGUAAAGCUCUUUACCAGGGAUGAUAAUGACAGUACCUGGAGAAUAAGCUCCGGCUAACUCCGUG
rnacentral:rRNA from 1 species